CGCUCUGUUAUUCUAAACCCGACGUGUCUCUGAUUUUGCUUUCAACCCGAUCAUCAUCGCUCGCUCUUCUCUGGGUUUGGUCUCUCAAUUGCAUCGGUAUCGUCUUAUUAUGGUGUUUUGGAAGCGAAUCUAUGAUCUGAUCGUCGCUCCCGCUUCUGAAUUUUUCACUCCUUCUACGAUCGUCGUCGAGUAAGAGGCACUGGGAUUGCUCUGUUGGAUCUUCUCUUCUCCUCUAUCAUCGGUUGUUAAGGUCUGCUAAGUCUGGGC